AAGUCGUAACAAGGUUUCCGUAGGUGAACCUGCGGAAGGAUCAUUAACACGUAUCCAACGUUAAACAACCCUGUGAACUUUAGAGGAACAGCAAUCCCGGUAAAUCAUUGCCAAACAGUUUUGAUUCGGGACCUCUGUCCAAAAGGAGUUGCAAUCGAAGGGUGGAAGCAGUGGCAUGGCUUCCCCAAGCAGUUAGUGAAUGACAGUGUCACUGACUGUGUAAGGAUAACGCCUCACGGUUGCUAGAGGUCGAUCACCGACCGGCAGACAUGUCACAGGGUCACCACGCCCCUUAAUCACUCCACUUGAAAAUGCCCCGCCUAGUGGUAACGCGCUAGGUAAAAAAAACCGAACAACUGUUAACAAUGGAUAUCUUGGUUCUC
rnacentral:misc_RNA from 1 species